rnacentral:rRNA from 1 species
AUACGGAGGGUGCAAGCGUUACUCGGAAUCACUGGGCGUAAAGCGCGCGCAGGCGGCCAUUUAAGUUGGAUGUGAAAGCCUACGGCUCAACCGUAGAACUGCAUCCAAAACUAUUUAGCUAGAGUGUGGGAGAGGAAGAUGGAAUUAGUUGUGUAGGGGUAAGAUCCGUAGAGAUAACUAGGAAUACCAAAAGCGAAGGCAAUCUUCUGGAACACUACUGACGCUGAGGCGCGAAAGCGUGGGGAGCAAACGGGAUUAGAAACCCUAGUAGUCC